AGCGGCGGACGGGUGAGUAACGCGUGGGUAACCUGCCCUAUACACACGGAUAACAUACCGAAAGGUAUGCUAAUACGAGAUAAUAUAAGAGAUUCACAUGGAUUUCUUAUCAAAGCUGAGGCGGUAUAGGAUGGACCCGCGUCUGAUUAGCUAGUUGGUAAGGUAACGGCUUACCAAGGCGACGAUCAGUAGCCGACCUGAGAGGGUGAUCGGCCACAUUGGAACUGAGACACGGUCCAAACUCCUACGGGAGGCAGCAGUGGGGAAUAUUGCACAAUGGGCGAAAGCCUGAUGCAGCAACGCCGCGUGAGUGAUGAAGGCCUUCGGGUCGUAAAACUCUGUCCUCAAGGAAGAUAAUGACGGUACUUGAGGAGGAAGCCCCGGCUAACUACGUGCCAGCAGCCGCGGUAAUACGUAGGGGGCUAGCGUUAUCCGGAUUUACUGGGCGUAAAGGGUGCGUAGGUGGUUUCUUAAGUCAGGAGUGAAAGGCUACGGCUCAACCGUAGUAAGCUCUUGAAACUGGGAAACUUGAGUGCAGGAGAGGAAAGUGGAAUUCCUAGUGUAGCGGUGAAAUGCGUAGAUAUUAGGAGGAACACCAGUAGCGAAGGCGGCUUUCUGGACUGUAACUGACACUGAGGCACGAAAGCGUGGGGAGCAAACAGGAUUAGAUACCCUGGUAGUCCACGCCGUAAACGAUGAGUACUAGGUGU
rnacentral:rRNA from 1 species